UCACAGCACCGGGAAACAAAACAUUGGUAACUGUGGAAAAUAGAACACAACUUAAUCGCGCUUCUUUCUGUGAGUCUCUCAUAUUCUCUCGUGCGAAGUGAACCGGAAGAGAUCACGUGAUGAUAACACGGGCGAGCCUGCACUACCUUAUAUAACCUGCUGGAGGCGCAAAACAACAACAGCAAGCCUCUCUCUUGAUACACAGAAACAGCAUUAAUAACAAUGAGAUCACAUUUACUCAACAGGGGUGAAGUCCUCCGUCGUGCCGCCGACCGCUGGAUUGCAGGGGGUCCAGUCCGAUGACCAUGGAUGAAGUACUGGCUGUCCAGAGUCAAGACCCAGGAUGGACCGCUCGCCUGUGUAUCGGUUGGGGACAUUUUUACGCUGCUGAUCCGACUCCGCUUGGGAUGGUUUCCUGUGGACGGGACUCUCGCUGUAGUCUUGGAUCCGCUUUGAACUGAACUCCCGCGGCUGUGUUGGAGCCACUAUGGAUUGAACUUUCACAGUAUCAUGUUAGACCCGCUCGACAUCCAUUGCUUUCGGUCUCCUAGAGGGGGGGUGGAGUUGCCCACAUUUGAGAUCCUCUCCCAAGUUUCUCAUAGUCAUCAUUGUCACUGGCGUCCCACUGGGUGUGAGUUUUCCUUGCCCUUAUGUGGGUUCUUCCGAGGAUGUCGUAGUUGUAAUGGUUUGUACAGUCCUUUGAGACAUUUGUGAUUUAGGGCUAUAUAAAUAAACAUUGAUUGAUUGAAUAAGACAGGUUUAACAAAAACGAUGUGGAUCGUAGCUGCGACUGUUGACCGAGUUGUUGCCGAAACAUGGAAGCCCAGUUCUGACUUUGAGGAAUUACUCAGGAUGUGAGGAAGUAUUUCCAUGUCAUGGCCCUGUUGUGGUGGCCGGGUGAUGCCUGAAGGAUCUACCAGUGAAUACAGUAUUCUACAGUAGAACACACUCAAGAAUUCUAUAUUGGGCGAAACGAGUGUUAAGUUCUUAGUUGAUGUUUAGAUGGCUUUAUUCACGUACAAGAAAGUAUUUAGCAGGUCCUAUUUUUAUGCUUCAACUAUGUGUUCAUGAUAUAUGAAGUACGACUGUAAUGACUGGUUUUGUGUAUGCGUGUACAAGACACACAGGUCAUUUUUAAUUGUUGAGAAAAAGUGUAACUGUAAAAAAUAUAGUGACUAAAAAUAUGAGUCCGUUCUGUUGGAAACAUAAGCUAACCCGUAUUCUUGUUGUAUUGUGGUUUUGUAAAAUUGAACUUUGAACAAGUUACAAACAGCCCCUUGACCAUGAAUUGAUUAACAUAGACCUAAACAAGUUGAAAAACUUAUACGGGUGUUACCAAUUGUACGGGAUAUAUAUCUACUAUAAUCUACUAAUAAAAGUUUCAAUCAAUCAAUCAAUCAAUGACAUAUUAUCAGUGGCCAAGUGGUUAGAGUGUCCACCCUGAGAUUGGUAGGUUGUGAGUUUAAACCCCGGCCGAGUCAUAGCAAAGACAAUAAAAAUGGGACCCUUUACCUCCCUGCUUGGCACUCAGCAUCAAGGGUUGGAAUUGGGGGUUGAAUCCCCGAAAAUGAUUCCCGGGCACGGCCACCGCUGCUGCUCACUGCUCUCCUCACCUCCCAGGGGGUGAUCAAGGGUGACAGAUCAAAUGCAAAUAAUAAUUUCGCCACACCUAGUGUGUGUGUGUGUGACAAUCAUCGGUACUUCAACUUUUUAAUGUUUCCACUUCGGUUAGAAUAUCACACUUCAAAAAUUACGUCAAUUGGCGCUUUUAUCUUAUUGAUGGACUGGAAUAUUGUUUCGAAACGUGACUUUAAGAAUUUAUAUUCAAAAUUCCAUUAAAACGAUGGUAAAAGCAGCAAGUCUUUCACAUACAGGAAGUAAUGUCAUCAAACCGGAAACUGUCGGCGCAAUCGGAAAGUUCUGCAGAAAGGCAAAAAGAGAACGUUAUCUUACAACUCGGGAACAUAUUUUUAUAUGACCACUCCUUAAAAAUAUUUAUCUUUAUUAACAAACCGUUACUCGUUUUAAAGAUGAGGUGAAUGUACACAGUUUGUUUGCAUGUAUUGUUUAAAGACGUAGAGAGAAAACAGCUGUUGCGGUUAAAGUGAGCUCAGUCCAGCAUUACAUGACGUCAUGGGUUUGCCAUUACAGUAUUACUUACAUAAAACUUGUGUUAUUCAUGCACAUUUUUAGAAAAUGUUUGGGAAGUCUCGUUUUAAAGACUAACGUGAUUUUUCUUGACAUCAAGUGAGUGUUGACUACAUGGGUAGUUCAUUGCAUUGGCCGCGAGAUGGCAAUGUGAAGGAAAAAAAUAAAACAAAAAAAAAAUCACAUUUUGAUUUCUUUAUUGCGUCACGUGGCCAUGUUUCCAGAACAACAUUUUUUUUACUGUAAUAAAAAGAAAUCCAAAUUAUUUGCAAUUCCUGACUUUGACGCUAGACACGCCUAACAUUACUAGGCAUAUUGGCAGAAAACCAGCAUGUGUGGCUCGGUCAUGUUAGACAACCACCGCCAUCGUGUGGAUGGAAACCAAAACUACAGUUGACAGUCACAACCUCCUUUAGUAAGAUUUAUAUCCAUAAAUAAACCCCUCACCGUUAAAACUACAGAGCCUCAUAAUGCACUAUAUAAGAAGAGUACUGUGCUGAUAUUUCCACUCCUGCAGUUGGAUCAAGGCGACAAGUACUUAACAGAAGUGCCCAGCGUUGAAAGAGGCACACAUACUUUCUAAACUAAGACAGACAAAAUGAGACGCUACAGUCAAAGCAGUGAGUCUAAGGACGAGUGUGGACAAGGUCACAGCUUGGCC